UACACUACAAGAACCUUAAAAACUUUAAAAUUUUCCAACAAUAUCCAAUUGACAUAUUAACAGUACAAGCCAUUGGUAAUGAUAGUUGUCUUCCUUUUGGGUAUUCAACUUUGGAAUAUUUCUUGAGUUCCUUCACCACUCCCUGCGAGUCAGGCAUUAGAGUGUUACUGUUAGCAAUAGUUUUUUAUUCAAUAGAUGUGUUAAAAUAUUAAUUUCUUUCGUUACAAAUCAAACAAAUACCUUGAUGCCUCCAAUUAAUCAAACAAAUACCUUAAUUACAAAUUAUUCAUCAACUAGAGAAAAAAUCUUUAGAUCAUUCUUCUCCUAGGGGUUGAUUGUAGAAAGAAUAAAACCUUGACAAUCUUAUUUGUACCUUUCUUUCAAAUUUCAUAUUGAUUUGAGGAAUUAUGUUUUGUUAAGCUAAAAACCCAAAGGUUGGACUAGGCCAUAGGUCAAGUUGAGCUUUGGGUUAACCCUCAAGUAGCCUAAUUGCAGCCGUGGAUAGGGAACAUCUCCCCAUGAAUGAAAAAAUAUAAGUAUGGGGAUGUCCCAAAUGCAUGGCUAYAAGUGYUGUGAGGACAAUGUAAGGACAAAUUUUGUGAAGACUGAAUCUGGUCUCUACUGUAAGUAGCAUAUGAGGCUUAUGCAGUUUACACCUUGAUGCUUUCCUUGAGAUGGGCUCAAAGAAAAUACCUCAAGACUCAUGAGGCACAUCCUUCACACCUUGGGAUGUCUUGUUCAUGUAAAUGUGAACAAGUGGAAUUAAAUCCUCCCCACUCUGCACCCACCCAAUGGAAUUAAAUCUGCCAGUCAUGAUCCUUAUCUUUACCAAGCACAAGUGCAUCAAAAAAUCUCACAAUACCAGGAAUAUCAGCACCCCAUAUCUAACAAAUUCCCUAAAGAAACACGCACCAAACCAUUCUUUUUCAACCUCUCAUCUCUAACAAUAUAGCAACACGCCACUAUGUUACUGCACAUAUUUGCAGUACUUCUGUUCCAACAAAACUAUCUAUAAACAGGGAGUUCCACAAGACUAGAUUGAAGGACAAGACUAAUUUCUUUCAAAAAUAUAGUUCGUUCAUUCCACCAAAAGUUGAAGUACAUUUCUUUAACAUAAUAAACACCCAACAUAGAUUGGUUUUCCAGAAUCCAACCUGUUAUACUCACUACAGCAAUAGAUAUCUUGAAGGACCAUUACCAGGAUGGUGUAGAUUCCCUUUCAACAGUCUUUGUUUUCACUUGCCUUUUGAAAAUUUAGUUAGUCUAAUAGAAAAAAUUGCUAUACUAGAAUAGCAUAAGUUUGCAUUGAACCCUAGCUCCCAGAAAACCUUAAAGAAUCAAAGUUGGCACUUGGUUUGAUUGCUUAGAUGUCAGCUUUAGAAUGUGGGUAGUACUAAUAAGCAACAUUUAUAGUAUGGGUGACUUGAACAAUAAAGCUAAUGCUUGUAGGUAGGGUGAGGCUUGAAUGGAAGCGGUCUCUUUGAAAGACAGAGAGAGGCCGGUGAGUAGAGAGGUUGACUCUUGUGGUUAAGAGUAUUAGGGGUAGGGAAUUCGGAAGUGAGGUACAAUCGAGUAUUGAGUGUUGGGUAUUGAAUGCUGAAUGCUGAGUAUCGAAUGAAUUUCAAUACGAUGAGGAUCUUUAUUUACGGGGGAGGUCCCAAGAUCCUAAAAGGUAGGAGAUAAAGGUGCUUGUUUCCUAUCGGGAAAGGGAAUCUUGGAUUUGUUGUCAAUCAUUAAGUGCACCAUUAGGGUUUCUCCACAUGUCUCAUGAGGAUUUUCCUGAGGAUUGACCUUCCUUCCCCUCAAGAUCCCUUAUUACUCACGUGUGCUACUACUUCUCGUGCGUUUUAUUUUAAUUGAUGUUGCAUUAGCGACGUCACUGCCAAGCGGGCGGUAUUUUGUUAAUCCUACGUGGCGUUUCGUCAUGUAUUCUUGAUGGGCUGUGGAACUAUUGUGGAUUUGGGCACGUGUGGGCCUCGCUGUGGGUUCAUCCCAGGUCUCUCUUGGCUUGGGUAGCGAAUGGGCUUGUAGGCGUGCGAUGAACUGCGGGUUCGUCGUGAUUUUGCGAUGCGCUCUGUGAGUUCAUUGUAGAACCUGUGGUGCGUUGUGGGUUCAUCGUAGUGGAAGGUUGACUGUGGGCUGUUCGCAUGCAAUCCUAUGAUGUUAGUUUAGUGUUUAAUGUUCUUCGAGGGUCUGAGCGGACACUAUAUACCUACAUUAACUCCCCUACUUAUCGGUAAGUGGGAACUUAUUGAUAAGCACUUUGCCUUCUUGUUUUUGGGUUUUGUAAUGGGUUCACUUGUGUGCGUUGGGUUUGGAGAUUUUCCCUGUUUUAUAGCUUUGUGUAAAUCUUGUAUGCCUUAUGUUCGUGGUGGUAGUUUCUUACAUUCCAUGGUUAGCCCCCCGUCUUUUGAUGAUUUCYUUCCYGUCAAUGGUUAGUGCUAUGUGCUCUGUUUGUAUGUUUCAGCCCCCCGACCGUUGAUGGGAAGGAAAUUGGAAAGACACUGAGAGUUACUUCUACCAMUCAUUUUCUUUCUACCAAUGGGCAAGCUUGUAUAAAUUUUAGCCCCCUUGGCUAUUGGUGUGGAGGUAUCGGUUGGGGCGUCAAGCUGCCGCCCCCCCACCCCCCAAAGUGUGAUAUCAUUAAUGGCUUAGCAGGGGCGGAGCCCCCCCUGUGUGGUGGUCUGACAUGCCGUUCAAUUCCUAGUGUUUGUCAUGGUGAAUGAUUCGAUGGCGUAUCAAAUUCUGUUAAUGAUGGAAACCGGGGUAGCCUUUCGGACAUGGCGCCUCUUUUUGAAUUAAUGCGCCGUUUUAACCUGCCUUUUGAAGGGUACUUUUGAAUUUAUGGGGUUACUUUUGGUCAAGCAUCGGCUGGGGUCACGYGCUUGCACCAAUUCGUCUUCCCUGGUGAUCAUUCCCAAUACGUGGGAACCAUGUUAAAAAGGGGGAAACUAUUCUGUUCUCAUCGACUUGCUGUGUUCUCCACAUCUCCUUAUACGCUUAGCAACUUUUUCCUUUUUUGCAAUCCGCUUUUCGUUCAUGGCUCCCUGUCAGCGAAGGGUAGAGGAGGCUGGGAAAGAGAUGAAGAAGAGUGUAGGGAAAAGGACUGAAUGUCCCUUCCCUGACUUUGUUAGGGAAGUGGAUACGAUGAAACUUAUAACUAAAAGGGAGGAGGCUACGAUGGCGGAUGGUGGCAGGGCUUUUUGGCCACCGAUGCUGGUGUGUAGAGGCGAGGGAGGGACCUUCGAUGUUAUUGCUAGCACGGAAUUAAUGUGUUUGUGUGACCAUCCCGAGCGUUCUGUGUCCUACAAAUGUCAGGAGCCUCGGACCGAUGGUUCGAGGUCUGCUAACAACUACACUGCUUGGACGCAAUUUAUCCUCGAGAGCUCCAUGUAUUUCCGCAUGUUGCAGGACUUCAGGCUCCUCAGGUUUGUAGAUUGCUAUACGAAUCUUUCUGGUAGGAAGGGGGUUAAGUACGUUAGGCACCUUCUGGAGCAUUGGUGUUGCCGCACUCAUACCUUUGUGGGUGUGUUCGGGGAGUUCACGGUUACCGUUGAGGAUGUGGCCGCUUUGGUGGCUUUGCCCGUUGGGGGCGUUUUGUCAGCUCAUCAUUUGCAACACAUUGAAUCCAUUCCGGCAGAUUUGAGGGAUCUCUAUGACGAGCUGCUUGGGGAGAUUGCGGCUUACAAGGUUAUAGUUAGAUCGGUCCACUKCUCGAGAAAGAUGCCGUUGGAGGCCUGCUUGAAUACUGGUUCGAGUCCCAUGGUCGGAGGGACGUGAUGGUCUGGGGUGCGGAUACGCAGUGUCAUCUCGCCUUCUACAUUUUGUAUGUGGCUUCACAAUUACAUUUUGUACGAGCAGAUGGAUGACAUUGUUCAACAGAUGAUGGACCCCUCCUGUAAGAGGCACAUUAGCUACAUUACAUUUGCGUGCCAUUUCUAUGGAGGUUCCUGUGUGAACGCUUUGACCACAGCGUCACACCCGGUCGCCUAUCUCUGAUGCGCGUUCAAGUCACCACUAUGGAGGGGGGUAGCUUUGAAGAAAACGUGUUUGAAGCCUAUAGAGGAAAGCACUAGCUCUAGGCCAACAGGCAAAAGGAUUUUAAAAUAAGUGACAUCGACGUCAGGCUGUCUUCGCUCGACGGAUUUGUGUGGAGGCCGUACACACAAGCCGUGUGGCAUUCUAUGCCUUUCUGUGUUGGUAUGCCGGUUCCAGAGGACAGUGAUCAGCAGUGCGCCGUCGAUGCGAAGAGCUCUGCCGUAGGCAUAGCGUGACUAAUAACUUGGCCUUGCUCCAUUGCAUACCUCGAUCGUGCGGGGAUGCUCAACUCAGCGUUUAUCGACCGGAUCGAGUACUUCGUCAAUUUGACUACGAUGACAUGGGUGCUCAGUUUCUGAGAUCUGCCAGGGAAGGCGUCUUCUGGACUCGGCAACAUGAGUUGGCCUUCCUUGGGUGCACACGGUUCCCCGUCGCAGGUUUUGCGCGGGUGUAGGGUUGUGCUUCCCUCCGGCUUUCUUAUCUCUGUGCGCUUUUCGGGGGUUUCCAGGAGUUGUGCGCAGGCUCUAGUCUCCGUCACGUCAAGGGUCCCCUUGAAGGUCAUGCCGCUAACCAGGGAAAUAGUCCCGCCGCUCCCUUGUCGCCCGUGCCACAGAGAACGAUGACAAAGCGCGAUGGGAAACGUCCAGCAGAUGAGGGGGAGAGUAGCCGUCCGCCGGUGAUAAGGCCAUGAUCCUUGAGGGUGCCUCGUCAGACUCUCCCGUGUUCCAUUCAGCCACCAGUUGUGCCUCAGGCUGCAGCAUCAGACAUGGCUUCAUUUAAUGACCGGGAGUAUCGGUCYAAGGUCAUGGAGGAUCCCUCUGCUCCAACACCCGGGAGCGAUGAUGACUCGAAUGUGGGCUUCGCGCAAUCGGCAAUUGCGAUCCCACCACAAAGGGUCACAUGUGUCCAUUUUUCGAGCAAGCUGCGUGAAGAAAAUGGCUCCCCAACCUCGAAAGAGGGCGCCGGGGGAGGAAGAUUCGUCUGUUGAGACUCGCGACACUCCAUCGGGCGCGGGGCUUCCGGCAGUUCCUUCGGAUACGGCAAACUUGUCUUUUGUUUUGAAGUGCGUAGACGCGGACGAGGCUCAACUAGGUUGCUAUUUUGUUGAUAUACUGCUUGUGCCUCGCUUGAAUCCAUUGCACUGGUUGUUCGUUUUACCCUAUAGCAUGCCUCGUUUCCUGCGGGUAUCUCCGAUGUGCCGACCACGCUUGUUAUCAAGCGGUUAGUGGAGGACCUGACAUCAUCGCAGCCCCCCAAUCAUGAUCUUAGGGCUGCUGAGGGUGCUGAGGGUGGCGAUGCUGCUCCUGAUGCUGUGGUGCGGGAGGUAGGCUAGGUGGUCGCAGACACGAACCCAACCAUUCGUCGUGAAGAAGUCUUUGCUGCCCCACCUGUCGAGCCUGAUGCCUCUGCGGAUGUAAGAGUCAGGACUGAUGCCGAGCCAGAGACCUCUGUUGCGGGGGUUGGUGCCCCUGAGGGCCUGGGAAAUCAGCCUGGGGACGAGUGUGUGGAACCUGGGGUUAAUGCUUUUGUUGAGCUAGAGGCCCCAGUUGGGGAGUUUGGUGUCUCCCGUAACUUGGAGCAUCAGUUAGGGGACGGGGACAGGGGAACCUGGGAUUGUCUUUCUGCCUGAGGAGUUGACUGAUGAAGAUUUGUUGGUUCGGAUACGACAGGAGCUUAUGGAGUAUUGCGAUAAUCAUGACAUCCCGUCUACAUUACUCGGUUGUGGAUCCUGUUUCAGUUCAGGGCCAUCGUAAGGGCGUCCAAUACAGCGUAUCUAGCUUAGUGGCACAGUUUGCUUUGAUUACCAUACGGAUUGGGUGGUUGCCAGAGGGAGAUCUACAUCCCGAAGUCGUGUGAUGACCCGCACAGUUGAGGAGUUUUCAUGGUCCGAUUUUGCCCACUGGCUGGAGGCUUGCCGAGGGUUUUUUUGGAAUGGGCUUCUUUAUGACACAGAUCGAGGAGCGUGUUGUCAUAUUAGCCCAUGYUUUUUGGAAGGCUGGUCCGGAGGUAUCGCGAUCUGUCUUGUUCUGUUCUCUAAAUGAUGCGCACCUUCGCCGAAAGGUUGUUGAGGUGAAAAUAGCGAAAACGAUGGAGAAGCUUGAGUUGCUAAUGGAUGAAUGUGCCCGUCGGCGGAGUUGAAAGACUUCCGGUAUUUUGAAGAAUGUAGCUGGGUUUCGGAAGUUAUAAAGGACAGGAGGGAGGAAUGGGCUAAGUGAUGAACAUUUACUUUUGAUGUAAAGAAAGAGAAAAAAAAAAAAACUUAUGGAUUUUGUGUGUAACAAAAAUCUAAUUUGUAAAAAAUGGUAAAGAGGGYUGAUUGUUGGCUCGUCGCAAGGGUUGUUGGAUUUUAAUGGGGAUUCGGGACGUUGCGGUGUGCAGUGUUUUUAGAGAAUGGGAAGUUAACGGCUAUUGCUCAUAGGUUGCCAGGGUAAAGGGCUGACUAUCCUUGAGCCUUAUCGUCUUGAAAUA